UAGGAUUCCAUACAUCUUAGGAUAAGGCCAAU
rnacentral:piRNA from 1 species